GAUCUGGCUCAGAACGAACGCUGCGGCGCGUCUUAAGCAUGCAAGUCGGACGGCAAGGGUUGUGCUUGCACAACUCCUAGAGUGGCGGACUGGUGAGUAACGCGUGGGUGACCUGCCCUCGAGAUGGGGGAUAGCCAUUAGAAACUAGUGGAUAAUACCGAAUACCGCUCAAUGACCCUGUAGGGGAUAUGAGGAAAACAGGCUACGGCCUGGCUCGAGGAUGGGCCCGCGUCCCAUUAGCUAGUUGGUGAGGUAACGGCCCACCAAGGCGACGAUGGGUAUCCGGCCUGAGAGGGUGUACGGACACAUUGGGACUGAGAUACGGCCCAAACUCCGUACGGGAGGCAGCAGCUAAGAAUAUUCCGCAAUGGACGAAAGUCUGACGGAGCGACGCCGCGUGGAUGAAAGAAGGCCGGAAGGUUGUAAAUCCUUUUGCUGAUGAAGAAUAAGUGUGGUAGGGAAUGACCGCAUGAUGACAUUAGUCGGUGAACUAAGCCCCGGCUAACUACGUGCCAGCCGCCGC
rnacentral:rRNA from 1 species